rnacentral:rRNA from 1 species
GCAGGUUGAAGCGCGGGUAAGACCGCGUGGAGGACCGAACCCACCUGGGUUGAAAACCGGGGGGAUGACCUGGGGCUAGGGGUGAAAGGCCAAUCAAAUUCCGUGAUAGCUGGUUCUCUCCGAAAUGCAUUUAGGUGCAGCGUCGGUCGAUUGCGUCGCGGGGGUAGAGCUACCGGAUGCUUGCGGGCCCUUGUUGGGUACCAACAGCAGCCGAACUCCGAAUACCGUUGACGUGUAUUCCGGCAGUGAGUCGGCGGGGGAUAAGCUCCGUCGUCGAGAGGGAGACAGCCCAGACCGUCGUCUAAGGUCCCGAAGCGUGUGCUAAGUGGGAAAGGAUGUGGAGUCGCAUAGACAGCCAGGAGGUUGGCUCAGAAGCAGCCAUCCUUGAAAGAGUGCGUAACAGCUCACUGGUCUAGUGGUUCCGCGCCGACAAUGUAGCGGGGCUCAAGCACACCACCGAAGACGCGGCAGCAAUCUUCAUGGUUGCUGGGUAGGAGAGCGUCCUGCGAGGGGCGAAGCGGCCGGGUAACCGUGCCGUGGACUUCGUGGGAGUGAGAAUGCAGACAUGAGUAGCGAGAGACGGGUGAGGAUCCCGUCCGCUGGAUGACCAAGGGUUCCGGGGCCACGUUCGUCGUCCCCGGGUGAGUCGGGUCCUAAGGCGAGGCCGACAGGCGUAGUCGAAUGGAUGAACGGGUGGAUAUUCCCGUACCGACCAUGGACCGGCAAAACCGAGACGGUGAGUACUAACCUCCGCCUCGUGGUGGUUCCUUCCUUCGGGUUGGUUCCGCCGCGUGGUGUUGGGAGCGUAGCCGUAGUAGGUCAGCGCAGGGGUGACACGGAAUGGGAGCCGGCCGCGGAGGUGGUUUUCCGUGGUCAAGCACGCAGCCAGUCAUGUAGGCAAAUCCGCAUGGCGCGCAUGGCGAGGUGUGAUGAUGGGAGCCUUUUGGGCUCGAUAUCCGGUUGUCCAGGCCGUCGAGAAAAGCCUCGGCGUGAGGGCCAUGGCCGCCCGUACCCCAAACCGACACUGGUGGUCAGGUAGAGAAUACCAAGGCGAUCGAGCGAAUCCUGGUCAAGGAACUCGGCAAAUCACUCCCGUGCCUUCGGUAUAAGGGAGACCCGCUGGGGUGAACCGGCUAGCCCGGGGAGCUUUGGUGGGUGGCACAGACCAGGGGGUAGCGACUGUUUACCAAAAACACAGGUGCAUGCGAAGGCGAAAGCCGCUGUAUAUGCACUGACGCCUGCCCGGUGCCGGAAGGUUAAGAGGAUCCGUCAAUCCCUUCGGGGACGAAGCGGUGAAUUCAAGCCCCGGUAAACGGCGGUGGUAACUAUAACCAUCCUAAGGUAGCGAAAUUCCUUGUCGGGUAAGUUCCGACCUGCACGAAUGGCGUAACGACUUCCCCACUGUCUCGACCAGGAGCUCGGCGAAAUUGCAGUACGAGUAAAGAUGCUCGUUAAGCGCAGAAGGACGAAAAGACCCCGGGACCUUUACUAUACCUUGGUAUUGGCGUUAGGCGCGGAUUGUGUAGCAUAGGCGGGAGGCUUCGAAGCGGGUGCGCCAGCAUUCGUGGAGCCGCAAGGUGAAAUACCGCUCUGUUCUCGUUUGACGUCUAACCUCGACAAGUCAUCCUUGUCAGGGACAGUGCCUGGCGGGUAGUUCAACUGGGGCGGUUGCCUCCCAAAGAGUAACGGAGGCGCUCAAAGGUCCGCUCAGCCCGGUUGGCAAUCGGGUGUCGAGUGUAAUCGCACAAGCGGGCUUGACUGCGAGGACGACGGUCCGAGCAGGGACGAAAGUCGGAGAUAGUGAUCCGGUGCCGGCGCACGGGCGCGGCAUCGCUCAACGGAUAAAAGGUACCCCGGGGAUAACAGGCUGAUCAUUCCCAAGAGUCCAUAUCGACGGGAUGGUUUGGCACCUCGAUGUCGGCUCGUCGCAUCCUGGGGCUGGAGCAGGUCCCAAGGGUUCGGCUGUUCGCCGAUUAAAGCGGCACGCGAGCUGGGUUCAGAACGUCGUGAGACAGUUUGGUCUCUAUCCUCUGCGCUCGUUGGAAUCCUGAGGAGGCCUGCCCAUAGUACGAGAGGACCUGGGUGGACGAACCUCUGGUAUGCCGGU